rnacentral:rRNA from 1 species
GUGCCAGCAGCCGCGGUAAUACGGAGGGUGCAAGCGUUAUCCGGAUUCACUGGGUUUAAAGGGUGCGUAGGCGGAUCUGUAAGUCCGUGGUGAAAUCUCCAGGCUUAACUGGAAACUGCCGUGGAUACUAUAGGUCUUGAAUGUUGUGGAGGUUAGCGGAAUAUGUCAUGUAGCGGUGAAAUGCAUAGAUAUGACAUAGAACACCAAUUGCGAAGGCAGCUGGCUACACAACUAUUGACGCUGAUGCACGAAAGCGU